CAACGCUGCCCGAGGUCUCGUAUAAUAGUGGGCGUGACGUCACUCCUUGAAGGCGGCGUGUACGUCAGUGUCACGAGGCCGAGGGAGGAGAGAAGGGAGGAAAAGGACGUCCAGGAAGCUCAGCACUUCAGCGCACAAACAAGAUGGCCGGUGGCAUGCCCGACAGAAAUUUCCUCUACGGGGUCUUCCAGCAAGUUGACAAGGACCGCAGUGGAGCUAUUGAUGCGCGGGAGCUCCAGUCAGCGUUGUCCAAUGGAAACUGGACGCCCUUCAACCCUGACACUGUGAAGCUGAUGAUUGCGAUGUUUGACAAGAACCAGAAGGGAACCAUCAACUUUGAAGAGUUCGGGGCGCUGUGGAAGUACGUCACAGACUGGCAGCAGUGCUUCCGCUCCUUCGACCAGGACGGCUCCGGCAACAUCAACAAGAACGAGCUCAGGACGGCCAUCACCACGUUUGGCUACAGGUUCUCUGAGCAGUUCUUUGACGUCCUGAUGAAGCGCUUCGACAGGUCAGGCAAGGGAUGCAUAUAUUUUGACGACUUCAUCCAGUGCUGCAUUUCCCUCCACACACUGACCUCAGAAUUUUCUCAGCGUGACCACGAGAAGAAGGGUGUUGCUUCCUUUAGCUAUGAGGAGUUCUUAGCCGUGGUCUUUAGAAUGAGCUAAUGUUGAGGUGUCGCCUUCUGUUGAUGUACGUGGCCUUGUCUCUUUUGCAUGAACCUGACGCAGCUGUUCAGCCAACACGACAACGACAGGGACGGCAUCAUCACCGUCUCCUACGAACAGUUCCUGCACAUGGUCUUCAGCAUCAGAGUGUGACCUGACCCAACCCGACCUCACCUGAUACCCUCUGCCCUCCCUAGCUGUUCCCUUUCAUGCCCUACCCUACCCUGAGUUUCUUCGCCCUUUUUAGCUGUUCCCUUACAUGCUCUUCUUUACUCUGCACUCCCUAGCCUUGCCAUUUCCUCACCCUGCCCUGCCUUGUUCUCCUCUGUCCCCUUAUCUCCUUUGCAUUUUCUAGCCUUGCCCAGCCCUGCCCUGUUUACUCCUCUGUCCUCCACACCAGUUCUCUUCUAUGCCCUUAUCUCCUCUGCAUUUCCUAGCCUUGCCUUUCUUUGCCUUCCCCUACCCUGCCUGCCCAGCCUUUUCCUCACCCUACAUUCCCUGUCUCCCCCCCCCCCCUCUCACCUACUGACUGUGAUGGUACCCUACACGUUGCCAUUAGGCUAUAAAUUCGUUUUAAGAUCUUUCCUGUCGUGCUUGUGUUUUAGGUGUAAGUUUUAGAGCACAUCCAGUCCUCUGCCAGCUGUGGAUAAUAGGGUUUCUCACCGUGUGAGAUCUAACGAACCAAGAGGACUCGUGAAUUUGGCGUUUGUGUUGUGUGAAUCGUUUGUGGGAGUGGUCAAGCCUAGAACAAUAACUGCAGACCGUUUCAGUUUGUGUUUUGUGUAUCUUUGUUCUUCUUCCAUCUUAAUAAAUUGUAAGGGAUUGUUAUAGAAGGGAGUCUCUUUUAGGCAUACACUCCCCUCCAUUACAUUAAGGGAUUGUUAUAGAAGGGAGUCUCUUUUAGGCAUACACUCCCCUCCAUUACAUUAAGGGAUUGUUACAGAAGGGAGUCUCUUUUAGGCAUACACUCCCCUCCACUACAUUAAGGGAUUGUUACAGAAGGGAGUCUCUUUUAGGCAUACACUCCCCUCCAUUACAUUAACCUCACCAUGAAGAGUGUUGUGACGUGCCAGAACAGUCCACGCAUACCUACAUUCUCUCUACCGCAAGGAACAAAGGCCUUCACGUUACAUCAGUACAGGAACUAGUCUUACUUACACUUAUUUCACGUAAAAUUGCUCCUUCAUGAAACAAGUCACACUCUGAACACUUAAGAUACAAUAGGGACAUGCUAGGAACGUCAUUUGAGUGGUUUGCGUGGUCUAAUAAGGACAUACUAGGAUCGUCAUUUGGGCGGUACAUGUGACCUGUCUGAAUAUUCCUCACUCUGGCAUCAAUACUUCCUUGGUUCUCUAACUUCUCUACUUCCCUCCUUGCCUGAUGUGCGAGAUGGGGCGUCAUGGUGAUAUGUAGUGGGUAUGAUAAAUUUUAGCUGUUAUUUACAUGGUAGCAGUGAAGUUUAUGGUAUUAUUUACAUGGUGGAGUUGAACGUUGUAUGUUUUCAAAUUCUUGAGUCUAUACGUAAAGUUUUGGUGUUAAGAAGUGACUUUUAAAGAUAGCUAUAAGUGAUGAAGGUUGUAUUAUUACAUGUGCUGUUCUUCCUAUUCCAGUGGUUAUCAUUCCCUAACCUUCCUAGCUGAUAACACAAGGUGGUUAUCUGUGCCUGUCCUUAGCUUUUAAUCUCUUAACUAAUGUGGGCCAGUGUUAUGCUGACGUCCAUCCUUUGUGAAAUUGUUCCGUUUAGCUUGUGAAAUAGAACUACUCUCUUGAAAUCACUGCUGUUGAUAUCGUGGUCUAGAGUACUGUCAAUAAUCUCGUUUACUGUGUGUCUCUUUCUAGUUUGUUAAGGAGAUUUUGUUACAAUUUCCUCUAUUGAAUACAUGAGCUCUGUGACACAAUAUUGGCUUAUGUUGUUUUUAAUCAUUUGUAUAUUUAGUGUUUAAUCUUUCCGUGUAACACAUCCUCAGUUGUUCAUGAGUUUACGUCACAAUUUUCUUAGUCUGAACAGAAUACGCUGGUCUGAACAUGUGUAAUCUCGGCAACGAUACAGUUUUCGUCACAACUUUUCUUGUCUGAAUCGAAUAAGCUGCGUAAUCUUGGCAACAAUACAGUUUUCGUCACAACUUUUCUUGUCUGAAUCGAAUAAGCUGCGUAAUCUCGUCAACAAUACAGACAGGUCACAGGAUUUUUCUCUUUAAGCUCCGAGACUCAUCAGAUAGGCUCAACUGUCACAAGCAACCAAUGCGACAACCAAUCAUUUAAAGCUUUAUGUGUACAGAAGCUGGUGUCACAGGUUUUGUUUUAAGCUCAGUGACACAAGUAGGUUUAAUUGCCCCAAAUAGCCAAUGCAGUGAACUUACUUAUCACUUCACAUGUUCCUCAAUGGUCACAGACGCUGGCAUUCACAAUAGCCAAACCAUUUACAAGUGUUACCUUUACUGGAGCAAGAAAGCAUUUAAAAUCUAGAAGGGCCUUUUCUUCUUCUAUUUGUUAACGCCCAUAUUUUACCCCCUAAGGAAAAACAGAUAUAAAUUAAAAAAAGAAAAAGAGAAGACCGUUCCACAUUUUAAAAGCUUUCUCGACUCCUUAUUUCUGGAUUUUACUUCUGCUUCCGUGAUGUUCCUCAAUGUGUGCAGCAAGUUAACUAAUUAUCUCAAAGUAGGAUUUUAGUGAAGACAUUGAAGGUUACCAUUCAUGCUAUAGGUAGUACACAUUCAUCUGAUAUUUCAAAUGUUGUAUUAGUAUUCAUCAACAUUUCUACUUCCACCUUUAGAACGGAGUCAGUUAGAAGUGCUGGAUAAAACUUAGUCAUAAAAAGUGCUAUAAGAAAAUCAACAAAACCAAAACUAACCACGUCUUGAGAAACAGGUAAAAUAAGCAACAGUUACGUGGCUAGUUUGGGUUUUUACUUCCACCUUUAGAACGGAGUCAGUUAGAAGUGCCGGAUAAUUAGUGUUGAGUCGACAUAUUACAAACUUAGUCAUAAAAAGAGCUUUAGUAAAAUCAACAAAACCAUAACUAACCAUGUCUUGAGAAACAGGUAAAAUAAGACAAAUAGAGUCACGUUAAUUGUUAGUCAAGAUGAAAACUAUAUGUGUGAAAAAUCAGGUGAAUAUGACCAUAGAAGCCUGCAAUGAAUUUAAAUACACAUCCUAAUGCUUAUGAGUAAAUACAAUACUCUGCAGGUCUCCAAUGACUGUGUGCAUGCAGUAUAUUAUUCUUACUGGUCUUAUAACCUCUGCUCAACCUUAAUGCUUUCAGUAAAACAUUAACCUGGUAGCAGCGACGGGCUAAAUUUGUGCCAUGAUUUAAACCCCCCAAAAUAGAUGAUGCAUAAUCUGAUCACAAAUGCUUUGAUAUAUAUUAUGAAAUGGUUUGUGUGAGGAGUGAUUUUUUCUCAUGUUUCUCGCUUGGAGGGACCAUUAAGAAACAUGAUCCCCGAUGCUACUGGGUUAAAGGCUCCUUCCAGGUGAAUUAAUGAGAAAAAAUCACCACUCACACAAAUCCUAUACUUCCAAGCAAAUUAAUGAGAAAAAUCACCACUCACACAAAUCCUAUACUUCCAAGCAAAUUAAUGAGAAAAAAUCACCACUCACACAAAUCCUAUACUUCCAAGCAAAUUAAUGAGAAAAAAUCACCACUCACGCAAAUCCUAUACUUCCAAGCGAAUUAAUGAGAAAAAAUCACCACUCACGCAAAUCCUAUACCUCCAAGCAAAUUAAUGAGAAAAAAUCACCACUCACGCAAAUCCUAUACUUCCAAGCGAAUUAAUGAGAAAAAAUCACCACUCACACAAAUCCUAUACUUCCAAGCGAAUUAAUGAGAAAAAAUCACCACUCACGCAAAUCCUAUAUUUUUUGGAGGGUUUAUGUCAAGCCACAAAUUUGGCCCGUCGCUGGUACCAGGUUAAUAUUCUGGACUGUAAAACUGGCCCUUUAUAUUUCUACUUCUCCCCGACAUUAAGCUUGGUUCUAAUGUUUUAAGCUUCACAUACUACCCUGUUACUUUAUAAGGCUGUCUGUUUCGAUAUUAUCUGCCACUGUUUUACCAUACCAUUAUCUGUUUCCAUUUAUUUUACCUAUUGCUGUUUGUUACCCAUUCCCUCGCUCCUGUGUAAAGCUUAGGUGUGUCAGUCACAUGUACCAAAUAUUUUAACCCAUUACUGUUUGUUCCCCAUUUCCUUGUCCUGUCGGUGUGUCUGCCAGCUCACAUGCACCAUUUUUGCGGCUACUUCCUUACAUCAGGGAAAAAUAUAUAUACUAGAUUUUAAUGCAUACACCUUCCAAUGAAACUCCUUGAUUCUGUGAAGGCACUUACUUUUAUUAUUACUACUACUAUUAUUACUAUUAUUAUUUAUCUCUUAAGUUAAAGGGAGCAGUAGUUUUGUGAGAUUUUGUUUUUCUUUUCUUUAUGUUUGCCCUUGUCUGCUUCUUCUUCUCAGCCAUUACUACUUUUAUUAUUAUUACUAUUAUUAUUAUUAUUAUUAUUUGAUUCUUCAAGUCAAAGGGAGCAGUAGUUUUGUGAGAUUUUGUUUUUCCUUUCUGUAUAUUUGCCCUUUGCUUCUUCUUCUCAGCCGUAAAUAAGAAUUAUGAGCAAAGGCUUAUAAAUCAACAAUUGUCACAAGGAAGGAAGUUUAUCAAUAUUAUUUAGAUGGUAUUUCCUUUUCAUGCUUCACGUCAAAUUUCCACAGCACUUCUUAUUUUCUCCGACAUUGGUGCUAAUUAAGAAGGUGCAUGUGAACUAGCAAACACACCCUGAUGAGAGUUCUUGCCAAGUGUAAUAAUUGCUACUCCUAGAGCCAUGGUGUAGGAGAGCUUGCCCAACUUGAUCACAGGCGUCAGGGGUGUGGAGUCGGAUACAAAAAAAUUUCAACUUUUGAGAAAUUUUAAGGUUGCAACUCAGACACAGACUCCACCCCACUCCCCCCUUUCCCGACUUCGACAGUACAGUGGUAGGCAAAUCAAACCACGCCACACCACACCCUGCCACACUACAUCACUCGCAUUGUAAAGGAGUCGGAGUAGGAGGGAUUUUUACCGACUGGCCAAAAGUAGACGACUCCGGUGACUUGGACUCCACACCUUUGCAUGUUACUAAAAGAUGUGUGAAAUUCAAAUGGACACUGAUAUAAUAGUGCUCUUUUUGUGUGUUCUAGGUAUCGUCAGAAUAUCUUAGUGCCUAGAGCUGGUUUAAAUUUCAUGCGGGUUUUUGGUAAUGGCACCAGUGAGGAAUUAGGCAAAACUCUCCUACGCUAUGGUUCUGGUUGUUCCUUCCUUCAUGUUAGACUCUAGCUCCUAAGGUUUGUUACAAGGCUCCAGAAUUUUAAGGUCCACAAAUGUAUAUAUGUGCGUACAUCUGCGGGUGAUUUCUAUUUUUAUAACACGGCCUGAGCUGAUCAAUUGAUGAGUCUGUUGUCUGUUCAAUGGGAAUAAAGAUAAGUGAGA